rfam:Scleropages formosus scaffold16402, whole genome shotgun sequence.
CCAAAGGCUCUUUUAAGAGCCACCCAUAUCUUCUCCAAAGAGCAA